rnacentral:rRNA from 1 species
AAGCUCGUAGUUGAAUUUCGGCCUUCGCCUGUGGGGUUCGGUCUUCAUUGAUCGGUACCUCAGCGGGCGGGGCUCCACCUUCUGGGUUAGCCAGUUGUCAUUUCGGUGGCGGCUGGUGAACCAGAACUUUUACUUUGAAAAAAUUGGAGUGUUUAAAGCAGGCUUUCAAGCCUGAACAUAUUAGCAUGGAAUAAUGAAAUAGGACUUUGGCCUUAUUUCGUUGGUUUCUAAAGCCAAAGUAAUGAUUGAUAGGGAUAGUUGGG